rnacentral:misc_RNA from 1 species
GAAUGAAUGUAGAGUCGGCUGUCGCUGGUCCCUUCGGGGGCAUGUGCACGCCUUCUCUUUCGUCCACACACACCUGUGCACUUGUGAGACGGAAGCCCUCGGGCGUCCGUCUGCUCUACAUAAACUCAUAUAUAUAAUUUGAAUGUAAUCGAUGUAACACAUCUUUAAACUAAGUUUCAACAACGGAUCUCUUGGCUCU